CCGCAGCGGGACGUGGUUUUUUGGUCACGUCCCCACCAGCUCAUCUGCACAGCUGAAUCUCAUUACUUCAAUCAACGCCACCCCAAGACUGCAUUAGAUGAAGAGCAACUCAAUCAUCCACUCUCCGUCAGAUUGUUCAGUACCCCACCUAGUAUCUUGACUCAGGCCUCUUGUUGUUGUUUGUUCUGUGAUUUUGAAUCUCUUGCUAACUUCUCUGGUCUCUGUGUGCUGAGGAUCAGCGUCACCUUCUCUGCUCUCCCUGACCGCUCUGAGCUCCAGCCCUGCCAGGUCCCAGUCCUGACCCUGCCAUCUGCAAGCUCUGGGCCCAUGAAAGAUCUUCAGAUCACUUCCCUGAUGAGCUCCCAGCCUAUCUCCUCUGCUCUGGACGCAUCCAGAGCACGAGCUCUCUGGUUGCUGAGCUCCAGGGCCAGGGUCGUGCUCUCCAGCUGCUGCCUGAGUCUGGCCACCUCCCUCUCUCUCUGCCUAGCCUCCUUCCGCUGGCCAUCCAACUCCAACUGACACACUUCCUUCUCCUGCUCCAGCCUCGAGGCCUCCAGCAGCGCCUGGUCUCGCGCCCGGGCCACAGAGUCGACCUCCAAGCUGGCUUCGCGGAGUUCUGCCUCCAGCUCCUCCUCCCGACGACGAGAAGUCUCCAAACUCCGACCUUGGCGUUCAAGCUCCGUCCUGAGGGUCUGAAUGGUGAGCUCUAACUGGUCACCCUGUCAAAAGAGACAAGAUGGAUGAUUAAAGAACAGUUCACUGAACCCACACAACAACUAGGAAACAAAGGGGAGAAGAGGAUGUGGAUGUGUUGUAGUUUCCUAUUUGGGUUUUAUUCACCCCUACAGCUGAAUUAAGUGCACUUCAUGUUUCAUUAAACACACAAUGUUAUGAUUUCCAUUCAUUCUGAGCCUUUGCUUCUUGCUGUGGCGCUCAGAAUACAAAUUCUACCUCAGACGUAACUGGAAGCUAUUGUAUUUUAUGAAAUAAAUAGUGAAACAUUAAAAAAGUUAUCUUAUUCACAAAUGAAAAGACAGCACAGAACUACCUCUGCUGUGAUGUUUACAGAGUGGAUGGUUUCAUUGUUUUGACACUAAAGAAAUACAUCACUGUUUUUCAAAGAAGUCUAUGUCUAUAUAUUGAUUUAAGUGCCAUAAAGACCAGGUUUUGUUUCUCUUGCUCUGACAUACUACAUGUGUAUUAACACUCUAAAACAAGUUGAUGUACAGGACCCAAUAUCAUAUGUCUAGCUGGCAGAACAUAUGUACACAGCUGAAAAAAAAGUUGUUUUUUUUUCUCAGCCAGUCCUCAGUGUAUUUAAAAUACGCACAGUAUUGUUUGAAUAAAUGGAUGUUCAUGUACAACAUCCACAAUAUAAACAGGGUCUUCUCUUGGAGAGAAGCGGUGCAGGUAAUACAGUAGAGUAUUAUAACAUUAGAAGGAGGAUUAUGUAUGACUCUCUGAAUGGGAGGUAUUCAUGAAUCCCUUUUAUGGUAUUUCUUUAGUGCUGACUUUGCACUUCUCUUCUCCUUAUCUUGCAAUUUCUCUGAUGUCUUGCAACUUUACUGCAAAUAGCACAUUAAACACAGAAUUCUGCAUCAGAUUUUUUUUCCAGAAAAUCUCAGAGACAUCCACAUGUUGCAAUAAAGUGUUUGAAAAAAAAGGUGAUUUUCAUCUUGGUACAGGCCUGAAAUAUGUUGUGUUGAAUCUCAUGAUCCCUGCUGUCAGCGUAGAUGAGUUACUUGUCAACAUUUUGAAUAUCGCAGGUCAAAACAAACUCAACACUGAGUGUAUAAAAACAUGCUGUUUUGCUCUCAUACAGCAGCUUGAAUCAUCCGUUUGUUUCACUUCACGCUGUCUAAUCCACCUAAUGCUGAACAGUUUCUUCACACAAAGAUAGAGUUACAUUUCAGUUCUAAAUGCAAGACAAAAGAUAUUUAUUUGGCAAACGGAGUCCCUAUCUGAUGUAAAGUAUUAAAUGAUUAUUUACAGAGAUUACAGAAUAAUCAGAUCAGCUACUGAGGAAUUACGUUACAUCAUAAAGACUCUCUUUCAUUUAAUUUGUAGAUUUCUUUCUCUCUGCCCCUCGUCUGUCUUCCCUCAAAUAAAAUGACAUCUGCCGUGGUCAUGGACAUUUGGUAUCACAGCUGCAUUGUGCUUGUGGAUUGUGUGUGUGUGCAUGUGCAUGUGUACUCAUCAACCU